GUUCAUUUUAAAUCUCAUGCUGCAUCAACAGACUUUCGGCUUCAUACAAAUGGCAACAAACCUAAAAGGCAUAAACGUUUUUUCUGACUCUCUACCAUACAAACUCUUGAUUAGCAGCACCAUACCUUUAAAGGCAUACAGAAGCAUCAAGUAGAAUUUCCGUAACAUAUGCUUAAAACAAAGUAACUUGUUACUGAAGCCAUAGUUAAUUUUUUUAAAGCACCAGACCACUAAUUUAUGCUCUGAACAAUUGAUGCAUGGUUUCCCA
rnacentral:misc_RNA from 1 species